rnacentral:lncRNA from 1 species
GGGAAAGUAUACCUGAACAUGAGGUCUUCUUUGAGAUUAGGAAGCAUUGUGGAGGAAUGGCCUAACUAACAAGAUUCGGUGCUACUUUAUGUUUUACAGUGUGCGAUAUGGAUGGCUAGGUGGUCGUAAGGAUGGUCUUGGUAAACAAUUGUCUGAUGAUCUUGAGUUAAGUCGAUCUCUGAAUCCUAUUUGCUUGAAAUAUCUGAAUUUGCAUGUUAUUGUCUCUGAACAAUUAAUCUGUCGCCCGCCUUAUCAGCACUAGUGCAGAACCGGGCAAUAGCACCGGUUCGUAAGACCCUUUAGUGCCGGUUCCAUAACCGGCACUAAAGUGUGGGCACUAAAGCCCCCCCCCCCUUUAGUACCGGUUCAGCACGAACCGGUGCUAAAGGGCAACCAUGUGGCACGAGCCAGCUCCGGAGGCCUGGAGCCCUUUAGUAUCGGUUGGUAAGACCAACCGGUACAAUAAGGUUUGGGGGAUUUUUAGUUUUAUGAUUUCUUUUUCAUUUAAUUUUGUGUUUCCAUUUUAAUUCUUUUUCGUUUGCUGGUAUUUUACGAUACUACACAUUGUACACGUUAUGUAUAUAUAUAUAUAUAUAUAUAUAUAUAUAUAUAUAUAUAUAUAGAAUUUCUAGUAGAACCAAUCAUGCAUAUAUAUAUCAUCAAUGUCUCACAAACCACCAUAUUAAUUAAUUCACACAUACACACAUGUAUAGCUAUAUACAAUUUCUCCUACAUAUGCAUGUUGCCUUCGGAGCCAGUGGCAUUAAUCUAAUUGGUGCCUUCGGAGCACGAUGACAAUUGGAAGUGGUUUUCAUGGGGGCGGUAGCGGGUAAUAGUAUUCUCCCUUCGGAUUUAUGACCUGGUCGAGCAAAAAUCCCGCUAUUUCCUCCUGAAGUGCUUCUACGCACUCCGUUUCUAGGAGCUUCUCCCGCACCUCUUUGAACUGUUAAGAAGGAGAUCAAUAUGCAUGUGUAUUAGUUGUGUGACUAGAUAUCAAUAAUGGUGUAAAAAUUGUGAAUAGUGUUCUAACAAGCGUACCCAUUCCUGUCUUUGAGAUCUGCUCCUUUCGGACGCCAUCAUGCGAAUGUUCUCGCAAACGCAGAAUACAUACAGAUCAGUCCCCUGCGCCUGCUUCAGGGCCUUUACCAGAAUGGAAUUUGAUCAGAUAAUAAUUAAUCAAGCAUGAUAAUUAAAGAGAUGGUAGCUAUCUAGCUAGCUAGUACUACUUAAUUACUUACCUUGGGUUGAAACCAUUUAAGCUUUUUUUCCAUUCGCCUUCCGUGCCGCUGAUGAACCUUGCCCAAGCCCUGCCCGCCGACAAAGAAAAUGAAUAAAGGGGUUAUUAAAUAGUUCAUAUCAUGCAAUGACGAACUAAAUAGGCCAAGAUAUAUAGUUAAUAAUGAUUGAAAUUACCUGUUGGCUAUCCCAAACAAGAUGUUAUAGUCAGUAUUUGCUUUGAGUAGUGAGUCCAGUAUUUCAACUGUUCCGGCAUCAACUUUAAUGAUACACAAGAUCCAGUGAAAUAUGCAUGCACACACGUUUGCAUGUCUUAAUUAAGCGGGCAUAUGUAAGCAAAAACAUGUAGCUAGCUAGUAGGCAAAAAUAGAGAAUUUGUAGUACAAGACAGUGUGACUCACUGGAAGUUGUAAGGAAGUAGUAUAUCUUCGUUGUAUUUGAGGUGCUUCAAGAACUCUAGCAUGUUGUCCUCUACGGCCUUUUCAUGAUGUGGAUUUAUUAGCCAUGUGUAUUCAUUAAUGGUAUUGGGGUCAAUGAACCCAAUGCCAAAGCGUCCACCUUUUCUCAUUUCAUACAUCUUUAUCCUGCAUAAUGCCACAGAAAAGAAUAUAGUGAGGAUAAUUACAGGUAAUGAUUGAUCAAAAGGAUCACUACAGCUAGCUUGAGACUUAAAUUACAAAAAGAAAUCACUUAUAGACAAUAGCAACUGACGAUAGAUUUGUCGAGUGCGUCUUGAUUGUAUAACUGAAACAGUUCAGAAUACUCAAUGGACAGAGCUUUCUCAUGGAAGUAAUGCUCCUCCUUGACAUUCACCAUGAGGGACAAUCGAUCAGAAAUCUUGGUAAUGUUCAUGUACCAUUGAUGCAAUUCAUACAUUCUCAUUGGGAGGUUCUUGACCUUGUCUAGCUCGACCAAAGGUUGGCCCCGGACAUAUUUUCGUUUUAUUUCAUUCUCUGUAAGCACAGGCAUGGGCUCGAUCUCGAGUAGUUGUCCAACAGUGAUGUUGAGAACUUCAGCCUGCAUUAUAUGGUCCUUGGUUAUUACCACAUUGCCCACCUCAGGAACGUAAACUGUUUGCCCACAAUAACAUUGGGCGCGCGUACUAUCACGUGUUGUUGGCACAACAAGCGAGGGGAUCGAUUGCGCCGCCUGUUCUCCCAGCUGGGGAAUGGUUUUCCCGCAUUUUUUGACAGCUGCUUGUUGUUUGCUCGAUCCCGAGCUCGCCUCCUUACGUAGACGUUCUCGAUUUAACUUCCUGAUGUGGCGCUCAUAGUCUGUGUCAACAGGCUUGGGAGCUGGUGGUUGAGCCAUACGAAUGAAGUGGUCAAUCGUUUCCUCAGGCACUUUCUCCCUUGGCGGCGGUGGCGGUUUUGGUGCAAAAUGGGCUUCCACCUAGGCCUUCGAUAUGGCUGCGUUUUCCUCCUCGGACUUGUCAUAAGGCCUCUGCGAAAGAGGCGCGAGGCUUGGACCAUAUUUAUAUCGCUUGCCUUCGCCUGUACUUCCUGUACUUCCUGCUCCUGCUGCCGCUGGAAUUUUACUGCCAAUUCCGCUUGACUUGCUUCUAGGCCUUGAAGGCGUUCAUAGUCCCGCUUCCUCUGCUCCUCCUCCAUCUUCCUCUUCUUCUCCUCCGCAAUCUUCUUUAUCGCACGGGUUCUGUAGCCGGUGUUCCAGUCUGAAAACCCCUCAUACCACGGAAUAGCGCCCUUGCCUCGUGUUCUUCCCGGGUGUUCAGGAUUUCCCAGGGCACGCGUAAGCUCGUCGUUCUCUCUGUUGGGCUGGAACACCCCCGAUCGUGCCUCUUCUAUUGCAACAAGUAUCACAUCAUCGACUCCCUUCAGACUUGCCCUUGUCGAAACAUUGCCUGUCUUCAGGUCCAACUCCCGCCCAUGCGCAUAGAACCAAGUCCUGCACCUGGGGGGCCAGCUCUUAGUAACCGGAGUGACACCUGCAUCCUCCAUCUCUUUCUUAGACUUAUCCCACUUAGGCAUUGCCACCGCAUAGCCACCUGGCCCAGCUUAUGAAACUUAUCCUUUUUUUCGGCAUUCUUCUUGUUUAUUCUCGACCGUUCCUUAGCUAAUUCCGAAUCCUUGAAUUUCACGAAAUCGUCCCAAUGAGCAUGUUGGUUCUCUAGUGUUCCAUCGAAUACUGGAGUCUUCCUUCCUCCCUUGACGUACUUGUCCCAUUCACGAUUCUUGUGGUUCUUGAAUGCAACCGCCAUCUUCCUAAGAGCAGCGUCCUUGACUUUCUGCACAUCUGCUUCUGUGAAAUGAUCUGGUAGGGUGAAAUGUUCCAUGAGAGUAUCCCAAAGCAGAUCUUUUUGUCUUUUGUCGACAAAAGUAACAUCUGGACGUGGAGCAGCAUCCUUUUUGUCUUUUUGUCUUUUGUCUUUUUGUCUUUUGUCUUUUUGUCUUUUGUCUUUUGCUGGCUCUCUCCAUUCUUGAAGGAAGAUCGGGAGUUGGUCCUUCACAACAACUCCGCACUGACGAACGAACUUGUCCGCAAUCUUCUUAGGCGCUAAUGGUUCACCAUUAGGUCUGAUUGCCUCGAUAUUGUACUUUACGCCCUCCUUCAACUUUUUGUUCGGGCCUCGUUUCGUCCUUUUGCCUGAAGAUUUGCUCGAUCCGGAUGGCUGAAAGAACAAAGAUCGAUUCGUUAAUAUAUCUUCAAGUCAUUUAAAACAUGUGAUGAUCACCAGAUGCCUGCUUAUAUAAAUAUAUAUACCUCGCCGGUCUUUGUUGUUUCAAGAUCAACAUUUUCUUCGUCAUCAUCAUAAUCAUAGUUCAUGACUUCAUCAAUUCGGUCGUCGCGAUCGAAUAUCAUAUCACCCUCUCCGGUGUUGUUUAGAAAUUCGGAGCCGUCAUAAUCUUCUUCAUUCUGAUCAUCAUAUGGCCCGUGAGGAUGGCGUAUCAUAUCGAACAUGGCCUGUUCUCCCUCUCUGCCGAUAUUGUCCGCCAUAGCUUUUAUUUAACUAAUCCAAAAGAAAUAUAAAACAAUUUAGUAUUCAAAUUACAUCGUCUCGAAUAAUUGAUAUAAUCUCGAAUAUAUCGUCUCGAAUAAUAGAUAUAAUCUCGAAAACAUCGUCUCGAAUAAUAGAUAUAAUCUCGAAUACAUCGUCUCGAAUAAUAGAUAUAAUCUCGAAUACAUCGUCUCGAAUAAUAGAUAUAAUAUCGAAUACAUCACUGGCUAUGUAGCUAAUAAAGAUCGAAUACUACAGAAGAAUCUAGGACACUCGCGGUUCCUGCGGUGCGGGCGGUGGACACCCAAAGAGAAGGAACCCUCACAGGAUCAUAGCUGAAGUGAGAUCCCUGAAGAAACUGCCAGGUAUUGGAGAACAUGCCGCCCUCUAACGCAACCAUGUAGCGAUGGACGUGCUCGUCCUCCUCCCUGACACGGCGACGUACCACCUCCGGCUGGGCCGGCUCCCUCCGCGCCAAAACUGGCCCACGCGAACGCCACCAAACGAGAUCAGGGUCGACGACGGGACCCGGGGCCGGGUUCCUCAUCAAGCGGCACGCCCCUCCAGGCAGCACCUCCCAAUGCCAGCCCGGCGGAGCCCAGUCCCGGACAUGGGUCAGCCGGACGUCGUCGCGGACGUGUCGACGGCGAGGAUGCGGGUCGGGCAUCGUCGAGAACAAAUACUAGCUAUAUGCCCGCAAAAAGUAAUAUUUUUUUAAUGAUUGGAUUUUGAUAACUAAAAUUUCUAACAUUUCUAUAUAACUAACAUUUCUAUAACAUUUCUAACAAUGCUAUAUAUAACUAACAUUUCUAUAACAUUUCUAAUAUUUCUAUAACUAAAAAACAGAAAAAAUUAUAACAUUUCUAUAUAUAUAACUAACAUUUUUAUAACUAUUUCUAUAACUAAAAAACAGAAAAAUUUCUAACAAUUCUAACUUUUUUAUAACUAUUUCUAUAACUAAAAACAGAAAAAUUUCUAACAAUUCUAACAUUUCUAACUAUUCUAACAAUUCUAACAUUUCUAACUAUUCUAACAAUUCUAACAUUUCUAACUAUUUAUGAAAAACAGAAAAAUUUCUAACAAUUUCUAAAAAACAGAAAAAUUUCUAACUAUUUGUAUAACUAAAAAACAAAAAAUGUAUGNNNNNNNNNNNNNNNNNNNNNNNNNNNNNNNNNNNNNNNNNNNNNNNNNNNNNNNNNNNNNNNNNNNNNNNNNNNNNNNNNNNNNNNNNNNNNNNNNNNNNNNNNNNNNNNNNNNNNNNNNNNNNNNNNNNNNNNNNNNNNNNNNNNNNNNNNNNNNNNNNNNNNNNNNNNNNNNNNNNNNNNNNNNNNNNNNNNNNNNNNNNNNNNNNNNNNNNNNNNNNNNNNNNNNNNNNNNNNNNNNNNNNNNNNNNNNNNNNNNNNNNNNNNNNNNNNNNNNNNNNNNNNNNNNNNNNNNNNNNNNNNNNNNNNNNNGCCCCCCCUUUAGUACCGGUUUGUGCCACCACCCGGUACUAAAGGGGGUGCGCUGGCGCAGGUGCGGUGCGGCAAGUUUAGUCCCACCUCGCUAGCCGAGGGGCGACCGCACUGGUUUAUAAACCCCCGUGCGGUCGCUCUCUCGAGCUCCUCUCCAAAGCAGGCCUACUGGGCCUACGUGUUCUUUGCUGUCCUGUGGGCCCACUUGGCCUUUGCGGGCCUGCAUCCUGGCCCAACAACAGGCUGGGUUUCUAGUCGUAUGCAGGCCGCUCUGGCCUAGUAGGCGGGCUUUUUUAAUUUUUUUUGCUUUAUUUAUUUUUGUGUUUUUUUUUGUGUAUUUAGAGUUUCUUUGUGAAUAUUUUUGCUUUAGGUACAAAAAAUUACAAACUUUCUGUUAGUGCACAUAGUUUUCAAAUUUGAAUAGUUUAAAUUUUGAAUUAUUUGAAAUUAGUGUGAAUCAUUAGUUUGUGAAUAACUUAACUUUAAAAAUCAGUAAAGGCAUGAAAGAAUUUGUUUGCACAUAAAAUUUCUUCGCGUUUCAAAUGCCAAAACACAUAACUACCCUAACUAUUAUAGAGAUUCCUCUCUGGGUGUGAAACACAGAAGAAAGUGAUGAUAGUGAAGCCGAUCACAUCCCAGAUCUUUGGGUGUGAAACUUUUUCUUCGCGUGUGUCCCUUUGAGCCGUAACCAUGGAAAAUCUUCAUCAUUUAACGGGAUGCUCGGGUCAAUAUUCACUGUGAAUGGAGCAAUUUCAUCAAACUUUUCAUAAUCUUCUGACUUGUCUGUCUUGUCAUCCACUCCCACGAUGUUUCUCUUCCCAGAAAGAACUAUGUGCCGCUUUGGCUCAUCGUACGAUGCAUUCGCUUCCUUAUCUUUUCUUUUUCUUGGCUUGGUAGACAUGUCCUUCACAUAGAAAACCUGUGCCACAUCAUUGGCUAGGACGAAUGGUUCAUCUGCAUACGCAAGAUUGUUGAGAUCCACUGUUGUCAUUCCGUACUGCGGGUCUUCCGUUACCCCGCCUCGUGUCAUAUUGACCCAUUUGCACCGAAACAAAGGGACCUUUAAACCACGUCGAUAGUCAAGUUCCCAUAUGUCCUGUAUAUAACCAUAAUAUGUUUCCUUUCCCGUCUUGGUUUCUGCAUCAAAGCGGACACCACUGUUUUGGUUGGUGCUCUUCUUAUCUUGGGCGAUCGUGUAAAAUAUAUUACCAUUUAUCUCGUACCCUUUGAAAGUCAUUAUAUUCGAAGAUGGUAACUGGGACAGCAAGUACAUGUCAUCUUCAAUAGAGGUGUCAUGCAUGGUACGUGUCUGCAACCAGCUGGUGAAACUCCUGAUUUCUUCACGUGUAAUCCAGUCAUCAGACCGCUCCGGGUGUUUGGAGCGUAGCAAAUUCUUGUGUUCAUCCAUAUACGGAGCCACCAAGGCGGAAUUCUGUAGAACUAUAUAGUGUGCUUCAGUGAGAGAAUGUCCGUCCAUACAUAUUAUUUGUUCCCUUCCUAGCGUGCCUUUUCCAUCCAGUCUGCCCUUAUGCCGCGAUUCAGGAACACCAAUCGGCUUAAGGUCAGGAAUAAAGUCAAUACAAAACUCAAUGACCUCCUCAUUUUGAUGGCCCUUGGAGAUGCUUCCUUCUGGCCUAGCACGGUUAUGAACAUAUUUCUUUAAGACUCCCAUGAACCUCUCAAAGGGGAACAUAUUGUGUAGAAAUACAGGACCCAAAACGUUAAUCUCUUCGCAUAGGUGAACUAGGACGUGCGUCAUGAUGUUGAAGAAGGAUGGUGGGAGCACCAACUCGAAACUGACAAGACAUUGCACCAAAUCAUUCUGUAACCUUGGUAUGAUUUCUGGAUCGAUUACCUUCUGAGAGAUUGCAUUGAGAAAUGCACAUAGCUUCACAAUGGCUAAUCGAACGUUUUCCGAUAGAAGCCCCCUCAAUGCAACCGGAAGCAGUUGUGUCAUAAUCACGUGGCAGUCAUGAGACUUUAGGUUCUGGAACUUUUUCUCUGGCAUGUUUAUUAUUCCCUUUAUAUUCGACGAGAAGCCAGACGGUACCUUAAUACUGAGAGGCAUUCAAAGAAGAUUUCCUUCUCUUCUUUGGUAAGAGCGUAGCUUGCAUGACCCUGAUGUAUCCCGUCUUCUCCGUGCAUACGUUGCUGGUCCUCCCGUGCCUCAGGUGUAUCUUUUGUCUUCUCAUACACGCCCAAGAAGCCAAGCAGGGUCACGCAAAGAUUCUUCGUCACGUGCAUCACGUCGAUUGCGGAGAGGACCUCUAGGUCUUUCCAAUAUGGCAGGUCCCAAAAUAUAGAUUUCUUCUUCCACAUGGGUGCGCGUCCGUCAGCGUCCUUCGGAACAGGUUGUCCGCCAGGACCCUUUCCAAAUAUCACCUUCAAAUCCUUGACCAUAUCAUGUACAUCAGCACCAGUAUGGUGGCGAGGCUUCGUCCGGUGAUCCGCCUCACCUUUGAAAUGCUUGCCUUUCUUUCUUACGGGAUGCCUGCUCGGAAGAAAUCGACGAUGUCCCAGGUACACAUUCUUCUUACAACUAUUCAAAUAUAUACUGUCGGUAUCAUCCAAACAGUGCGUGCAUCCGCAGUAUCCCUUGUUUGUCUGUCCUGAAAGGUUACUGAGAGCAGGCCAAUCAUUGAUGGUCACGAACAGCAACGCCUUUAGGUCAAAUUCUUCCCCAUGUGCUCAUCCCACACAGGUACACCUGUUCCAUUCCAUAGUUGUAAGAGUUCUUCAACUAAUGGCCUUAGGUACACAUCAAUGUCGUUGCCUGGUUGCUUAGGGCCUUGGAUGAGCACUGGCAUCAUAAUGAACUUCCGCUUUAUGCACAACCAAGGAGGAAGGUUAUACAAACAUAGUCACAGGCCAGGUGCUAUGGUUGUUGCUCUGCUCCCCAAAAGGAUUAAUGCCAUCUGCGCUUAGACCAAACCAUACGCUCCUUGCGUCAUCUGCAAACUCCUUCCCGUACUUUCUUUCAAUUUUUCUCCACUGCGACCCGUCAGCGGGUACUCUCAACUUUCCGUCUUUCUUACGGUCUUCUCUAUGCCAUUGCAUCGCCUUGGCAUGCUCUUUGUUUUGGAACAAACAUUUCAAUCGUGGUAUUAUAGGAGAAUACCACAUCACCUUGGCAGGAAUCUUCUUGCUGGGGCGCUCGCCCUCGACAUCACCAGGGUCAUCGCGGCUUAUCUUAUAGCGCAAUGCACCACAUACCGGGCAAGCGUUCAAAUCCUCGUACUCACCGCGGUAGAGGAUGCAAUCAUUAGGGCAUGCAUGUAUCUUCUGCACCUCUAACCCUAGAGGGCAGACAACCUUCUUUGCUUCGUACGUACUCUCGGGCAAUUCGUUGUCCUUUGGAAGCAUAUCCUUUAUCAUUACCAGCAACUUUCCAAAUCCCUUGUUAGAUACACCAUUCUCUGCCUUCCGUUGCAGCAAGUCUAGUGUGGUGCCCAGCUUUUUCUUGUCACCUAUGCAAUUCGGGUACAACAAUUUUUUGUGAUCCUCUAACAUGCGCUGCAACUUCUUCUUCUCCAAAUCAUUUGUGCAGUUUCUCUUUGCAUCGGCAAUGGCCCGACCUAGAUCAUCAACGGGCUCAUCUGAUGCCUCUUCUUCAGCUUCUUCCCGCAUUGCCGGCUCAACUUCUUCCCGCAUUACCGGCUCAGCUUCUUCCCCCAUUGUUGUAUCAUUGUAUUCAGGGAACCCAUGGCCAGGAUAGCUGUCGUCGUCCUCUUCUUCUUCAUUGUCUUCCAUCAUAACACCUCUUUCUCCGUGCUUGGUCCAAACAUUAUAGUGGGGCAUGAAACCGGACUCAAACAGGUGGACGUGAAUGGUUCUUGACGUAGAGUAAUUGCGACCAUUCUUACAGCCAGCACAUGGACAAGGCAUAAAACCAUCCGCCCGCUUGUUUGCCUCAGCCGCAAGCAGAAAAGUAUGCACGCCCUCAACGAACUGGGGAGAGCAUCGGUCAUCGUACAUCCAUUGCCGACUCAUCUUCAUUACACAACACCGAAUAGACCAAAUUAAUACAAGUUCAUACAUAAAGUUCAUACAACACUUAAAUGCAACAAACAAAUAACUCUCUAGCUAAAGCAUUUAAAUGCAAGAACAAAUGCGAUCAAGAUCGCAACUAAGGUAACAAUUGAUCCAACAACAUAAUGAUACCAAGCCUCACUAUCGAUGACAUAUUUUCUAAUCUUUCUAAUCUUCAAGCGCAUUUUCUCCAUCUUGAUCUUGUGAUCAUCGACGACAUGCAACUCCAAUUCCAUCUUCUCCCCCUCAAUUCUUUUCAAUUUUUCUUUCAAGUACUUGUUUUCUCUUUCAACUAAAUUUAACCUCUCGACAAUAGGGUCGGUUGGAAUUUCCGGUUCACAUACCUCCUAGAUAAAAAUAUCUAUGUCAACUUGAUGGGCAUAAUUUGUCAUAAACAUGAAAUGCAACAAAUAGUUUUAAAAGAGAAUAUACCACAUCCGAAUCAUAAUAAGGACGAGGGCCGACGGGGACGGAUAUCAAAACCAUGGCACUAUGUAUAACAAACAACGUACGGGUAAGAUAAUUAUACGAGUAACUAUAUAUCCAAAUCACACAAACAUCAAUUUUUUAUAUAAAAUUUCAUGAACAAGAGGCUCACCACAAGGUGGUGCCGGCGACGGGACGGUGCGGGCGAUCGACGGUGGUUACGACGGAGAUUUAGAAGGCACUAAGUAAAACACACCUACAUAUGCAAACUAAGUGUUAUUUUGACCUCAAAUUGCAUAUAAAUCAAAUACUACCACAUAUAAUUCCUCCCAAAUUACUAAAACCCACAAUUAAUCACUAUAUAAACCAAUGCAAGAGCUAAUCUAGCAAUGAGAGAUGAAAGGACAAAGUUGCUAACCUUGGUGAUCAUUUGAAUGGAUGGGGGCCUGCAAAUCUUGACAAAUUUGGGGUAAAUUUUGUGAUGAACUCGAGAGGAAGAAGGGAAGAACAGAGGAGAGGGAGAGGGGAAAGGGGGAAGAACAGAGUGCGGGUGGACGAAGGGUUUAUAUAGGACGACCUUUAGUACCGGUUCGUGCCACGAACCGGUACUAAAGGUGCUGGAAGGGCCUCACUCUGACAACAUCCUGCCAUCAUUUUCUUUAGUACCGGUUCGUGGCACGAACCGGUGCUAAAGGUUCGCCACGAACCGGUACUAAAGAGCUCCUCCCGCCUAGCCGUUGGAACCGGCACUAAUGGACACAUUAGUGCCGGUUCUGUUACAAACCGGGACUAAUGUGUCUCACAUUUGACCCUUUUUCUACUAGUGCAGUUACCACAAGCUGCACUAUGUCCUUUCUGUUGCACUGGCGAGUGAGCAGCCGCCGUUCACGUCAUAGGCGUUGUCACAGACUAAUCUUUUUGCUGGUUGGAUAUAAAGAUUUGUUUGGAAGAUUUGUGCUGCUGCUGCUUAUUUAAAAUUUGAUUAUUCUUUGACUAUUUGUUUUUUUUUUGAGUAGUAAUACCAACAUCUUGGGUCCGCAUCAGUCUACUAAAAUCAAGUCAUCCACUCAUGUUGUUUGUGCAGAUCUUUGUUUUCUCAUCUCAACAAGGUAGAUGAUGAAUAUUCAAACUGGCUGUAAGUGAGGUGGACCAAUGUAAACUGGCUAAAAAUAUAUUUUACGAGUGUGAUUUCUGUAACCAUACAUGUUAAUGUACAUAACAUGUUAGAGAUCUCCUUUCUCAUUGUAAGUUGUUUUAUACACAAUAAGUUUGUACAAUAUGUAGCCUUCCAAUCAGAGAUGUAUGAAUUUUAAGCUAAGUGAGGCUCUUUCAAUCUCCACACAUGAGUCUUGAGAUUGCUUUCUCCUCAGAGAGCUUGAGGACUAAUCAUAAUAAAUU